AGCAACUAAAACCCUACUACACGACGCUUUCCUUACUCACUCUCCCACUUUCUGCCGUCUCGAUCACUCCGUUUUUGCAGAGAUCUCCGCAAAAUCUCAAGUUUCCAGCGUUUCCGUAGUACACGAUCACAUUUCAUAAGAUCAUCACCAUGUCUUUUAAGACUCAAAUCGCCCGAGCAUUCAUGGGAAGCGAGAAGUCCAGCAAUUCCUACACCAGUGUUUUUGCCUCCGCCUUCGAAUCCAUGACGGAAGCUGGACACACGCGGGUGCCCCUGACCCCCAGUAAGACAUUGAUGUCCAAACCAAGCCAGUCCUUCAGCCCGAGCAAAUCACACCAAAUUAAACACAACACGAGUACAAAUCAUGGCUUUGGGAUUUUGUAAUUACAUCACAGCGACAUCACAAUUUUUUUAAAAAGUCAAUAAUCCACCUGAUAAAAAGACCCACAAAAUAUCGCAACCACCACCGCUUUACGGAACUUAAUAUGUAUAAGAACUUACGAACUUUUUUGCAAUAUGUUUAAGAAUCCACGCAAUAAUUUUUUGAAAUUGUUUACAUGUUUUUGAACGAGGAGAAAGAAAUUAUUUAAAUACUUGUUAGAAAUAAUUUCAUGUUACAAAUGAUGUACUUAUGUAGAAGUACGAGUAUUUAUUUUUUACCACGAUAAGACUGAAAUGAGACGGUGUUGAUAUGUAGCACUAUUUCAUAUCAUGACUUUGAUCUUUUCUGCGUAAUAAAUUUACAUAAAUAAUGUAGGUAUCUAAAGAGUGAA